rnacentral:rRNA from 1 species
UACAGAGGUCCCGAGCGUUGUUCGGAUUUACUGGGCGUAAAGGGUGCGUAGGCGGUGGGGUAAGUUUGAGGUGAAAGCUCCGGGCUCAACCCGGAAAAUGCCUUGAAAACUAUCCGGCUAGAGGGUUGGAGGGGAGACUGGAAUUCUCGGUGUAGCAGUGAAAUGCGUAGAUAUCGAGAGGAACACCAGUGGCGAAGGCGAGUCCCUGGAAAACACCUGACACUGAGGCACGAAAGCUAGGGGAGCAAACAGG